rnacentral:rRNA from 1 species
GAUGAACGCUAGCGGCAGGCCUAAUACAUGCAAGUCGAGGGGUAGAAGAGGCUUGCUUCUUUGAGACCGGCGCACGGGUGCGUAACGCGUAUGCAACCUACCUUCAUCUGGGGGAUAGCCCGGAGAAAUCCGGAUUAAUACCGCAUAAAAUCACAGGAUGGCAUUAUCCAAUGAUCAAACAUUUAUGGGAUGGAGAUGGGCAUGCGUGUCAUUAGCUAGUUGGCGGGGUAACGGCCCACCAAGGCGACGAUGACUAGGGGAUCUGAGAGGAUGGCCCCCCACACUGGUACUGAGACACGGACCAGACUCCUACGGGAGGCAGCAGUAAGGGAUAUUGGUCAAUGGAGGCAACUCUGAACCAGCCAUGCCGCGUGCAGGAAGACUGCCCUAUGGGUUGUAAACUGCUUUUAUUCGGGAAUAAACCUUAUUACGUGUAAUAAGCUGAAUGUACCGAAGGAAUAAGGAUCGGCUAACUCCGUGCCAGCCGCCGCCGUAACAC